GAGCAAACGAUGCCUGUUUUCAAAUUGUGUGGUAAGCACUUUCUACAUCUUCUUCUUUUGGCGGGGGAGGGACCAGCUUGGGAGGGACCAGAUUGGGAGGGCUGUGGGCUGGGCUCAAAGUGGCAAUAUUUAUACCCCAAGUUUUUGUUUUCAUAAACAAGUGCUGCAAUACGCCUGAAGGUUACUAGUGCGUGCGCGUGCUUGUGUGUGUGUGUGUGUGUGUGUUUGAGUGUGUGUGUGUGUGUGUGUGUGUGUGUGUUCAAGAGAGACAUGGUGUGUGACUUUUGCAUCCCUUUAUUUGAUUCAUUGAUUUUAUUUCACAUAUUCUCACAUUUCUCUGUUACAGUUUCACCAGUCUCAUAUUUCCCUGUGUGUGUGUGUGUGUGUGUGUGUGUGUGUGUGUGUGAAUUUUUUUGUCUGUUUUGCACUCUUGAUGUUUUAGAGAUUCACAGUUUCACUGUUGUGUGCUUUUUUUCUGCAUCGUGGCUGAUUUGUAGAUUGUACACACAAAAAAACUCAGUAUUUUCAUAUUUUUGCCAAUUUCCCAUUCAUUUCCUAUGGCGGGUCAUUUUUGACCCGAAGACCCUGAGUGUGACUAUUUUUUUUUUACGACCACUUAGACUUUUCAAAUCCUGUCCCCAAUUUUUUGGGGUGUUCAUAUACCAAGUACCAAUAAAGUCACCAAGUUUCAGACCAUUCCGAUGAAGCUAUGAUUUUUAACAUUUUUUUAAAAAAAAAAUUCGGGUCAUUAAUGACCGAAGAACCCCAGAGGGUUAAUAAAAAAAAAAAAAGCAACA
ensembl:lncRNA